GACGAACGCUGGCGGCGUGCUUAACACAUGCAAGUCGAACGGAAAGACCCCUUUGGGGGUACUCGAGUGGCGAACGGGGGCGGAACAGGUGAGUAACCUGCCCUUGACUUCGGGACAACGUCAAGAAACUGGGGCUAAUACCGGUUAGGAAUCCUAGCUUCAUGGGGGGGGUUCGAAAGCUUCGGGGGUUUUGGAUGGACUCGCGGCAUAUCGGCUUGUUGGUGGGGUAGUGGCUUACCAAGGCUUUGACGGGUAGCCGGGCUGUGGGGCCGACCGGCCACCUUGGGUCUUAGAGGCGGCACCGACUCCUAAGGGUGGCAGCUGUGGGGAAUAUUGCACAAUGGGCGGAGGCCUGGUGCAGCAGCGCCGCGUGCGGGAUGACGGCCUUCGGGUUGAAAACCGCUUGCAGCAGGGGCGAAGCUUGUGGUGACGGUACCUGCAGAAGAAGCACCGGCUAACUACGUG
rnacentral:rRNA from 1 species